AUCCAGACUCCUACGGGAGGCAGCAGUGGGGAAUAUUGCACAAUGGGGGAAGCCCUGAUGCAGCGACGCCGCGUGAGUGAAGAAGUAUUUCGGUAUGUAAAGCCCUAUCGGCAGGGAAGAAAUUGGACGGUACCUGACUAGGAAGCCCUGGCUAACUACGUGCCAGCAGCCGCGGUAAUACGUAGGGGGCAAGCGUUAUCCGGAUUCACUGGGUGUAAAGGGAGCGUAGACGGCCAUGCAAGCCUGGAGUGAAAGCCCGGGGCCCAACCCCGGGACUGCUCUGGGAACUGUGCGGCUGGAGUGCGGGAGGGGCAGGCGGAAUUCCUGGUGUAGCGGUGAAAUGCGUAGAUAUCAGGAGGAACACCGGCGGCGAAGGCGGCCUGCUGGACCGCGACUGACGUUGAGGCUCGAAAGCGUGGGGAGCAAACAGGAUUAGAUACCCGAGUACC
rnacentral:rRNA from 1 species